AAAGUCGUAACAAGGUUUCCGUAGGUGAACCUGCGGAAGGAUCAUUAGCAUACGCGUUGCGCGCCCCAUUUUGCUACCGUGUGAUGUAAAAAUUACUCGGGCGCGCCGGGGUGUCCAACAGCGCCAAACCAUGUGAACCCGGAAUGUAUAUAGCUGUGCGGCGAGGAGCGCGCGGACGAGACACGGAGAGAGGAGUGAGUAUGGAUGUAGUAAUUCAUUCUGUUCUUUUCUCUCUUGCUUGAAUGUGUGCGCCGCGCCGCAUGGUCAACUAAACCUGUAACUUUAAAUAAUUACACAAACAAAACAUAUAUAACUAAAUACACAACUUUUAACAAUGGAUCUCUUGGCUCCU
rnacentral:misc_RNA from 1 species